UACAGAGGUCCCGAGCGUUGUUCGGAUUCAUUGGGCGUAAAGGGUGCGUAGGCGGUCUUCUAAGUUUGAUGUGAAAGCCUGGGGCUCAACCCUGGAAUGGCAUUGAAUACUGGAGGACUAGAGUACUGGAGAGGAAACUGGAAUUUACGGUGUAGCAGUGAAAUGCGUAGAGAUCGUAAGGAAGUCCAGUGGCGAAGGCGAGUUUCUGGACAGUUACUGACGCUGAGGCACGAAGGCCAGGGGAGCAAACGGG
rnacentral:rRNA from 1 species